CUACAAAACAAAAAGCACAAGAUACAACGUGAAUUCUAGAAGCAAGCACGUGGCAGAGAUUGGCAAUCAUCCAGAGCCAAGUCCAGAACUGCGCAGCUGUGUGGAUGAAGCAACGAAUUAGACAGAAAUAAAUGAUCUGGUGAGUAACAUGGAAUUCAUAAAUGAUAUUGCAGAGAAAAGUAAAUUGCAGUUUGCAUUUAAUAGCAGCUAUUCAGAUGCUGUUUUGUGGCAAUCUUUAUACACACAAUGUGAAAUUGCCAAUAAAUUGUUUGUUAAUUAGAAAAAACAAAAGAUCAGAAAUGUUAUGAAACUACUCUGUACUUACAAUGCAUUGAUUUGUAAACGAGAUGCAGGUCAAGACAAUUUAGAAUUAGCAGAAAAAGAAGUAGAUUUGAAUGGGUUAACAGAAGACAAAUCAGAUUUAAAUGAACAGUGUAACAAUGUAACAGAGAGCACAUGCUGUAAACAGUCAGAAACAGUCUGUGAAUUGGAGGAUAGAUUUGAACUAAGAAAUGAUCUUAUUUGCCAGUUUAGAAAUUAAGUUAAGCUAGUGUGUGUUAAUACAAGAAAAAUACAGUAACUCCAAUCAUUUUAAAGAAGGAAAAAACAAUAGAUUUAUUCUUUGUUGCUUCUGAGGUUGAUUUAAAAUCUUUGAUUUAAUUCAUGAGAAUGAGAUUUUAAUGCCAUGACUGAUAAUUGUAUUACUAUAUUUUGCAAAGCCUGGACAUACAUAUGAUUUGAAUAUAUAUAAGACAAAAGUUUUGAUAGAAUAAAACCUAGAUUUACAAAUACAUUUGAUGUAGGAAACAAUAUAUGUUUUUUGUAGUUUGUUUCAUGUGACAAAAUGGUGCCACUGUUAAGACAAGAUGGCUGCUAUUGCUAAAGUAUAGUGGAAAACAAUAUUUAGUUGUAACAUCUGAUAUGUGAUUAGGUUAUACCUCUAUAUUAUUAAACAGUUUAAAGUGGGGUAUGAUUAAUAAGGUAUGAUUAAUACAAAGUUUGAAAAUUAAAAUGUGUAGAAAGAGAUUUUAAUAUAAAGGAAAUUUAAAGAUUAUACAUCACAUGGCAUAAAUGCAAUGACCACAAGAUGGUAGAUCUCAUGAGAAGAAAUGAGUAUGUUUUGUGUAGUCAAUAUAAUUCAAUGUUAAACUGUAUAAUAAUAAUGAGAUAUAAACAUUGUAAGCCAUUGUAUUGAUGCUGCACAUGUUUUUUGUUUUAAUGUAGGUAAAGCGUGACAGAUCCUUGUGGCAGUAAAUCAGGAAAGUAUUCCUUCAGACAACUGGAUAUCGACUGUUGGAAAGAGACUUUUCAUCUGAUCUGCAAACUGUGAUGGAAGAUUCUACAGAGUUCAUUCGAUACAGA